ensembl:lincRNA
AUGAGGCCACAUACAUCCAUAAUCACCCUAAACGUAAACGGGUUAAACACACCAACGAAAAGACACAGGCUGGCUGGGGGAGCGCAGCCUGUGCGUGCAUCCGCUUUCACUCCCCACAUCACUCUGCUGACAGCCGCCAGGUCAGCCCAGCCCAGCCGCUCAGGCCAGCCCAGCCCCCAGAAACCAGCAAGACCCCUUUACAACGCUGCACAGCUCAAAACUCACGUUCUACGUAUGCCCGUGGGAGGAAGCUGCUCAGUCCAAGCUCCCUGUUCACAGAGUGCCCGAGGGAGAACCCGCCUCCCCAACAGAGGGAUUCCUGCCCCCCCUUGGCAAGGGCGCAGCAGUGACUCAGCGCUCCCAGCAGGAGAGGCCAGGAGAGCCCGCUGCCGCUGCCGCCCCACUCUGCGCAGCAGGGGCCUAGGGGGAGCCCUCAGCAGUGCCUGGGCGCAGGUGGGUGUCAGGGUAGGAGAGCAGGGGCCUUUCCCCCAGAGAAACAUGAAGACUUUGCUUCCAGGACUGCCUCGGUGCUGCAGGCCGACCCCGAGCAGUGCCAGGAAGAGGUCAGUAUCUGGACAGUGAGGCUCUGAGGUCAGGAGCAGAGGAGGAUACCAGCGUCCUCCAAUGUCUUAGGGAGAUACCUGUUACCUGGAACCCAUGCAAACCUCCCCAACAGCACGACCUGGAGAGGAAGAGGCAGGGCUGUGCAAGGCUGCACACGCUGCCCACAGGGCCAACCUCCCACCAUCUCACGCCCUGCUCACACCUCCCCCGGAGAGACCAGCUCCAGGACCCAUGGCAGAACUCAGCUUACUUCCCGCCCCGCCCCCGGCGUCCACCCCGCCUGUCCCCAACUGGGGGCAGCGGCACAGCCCGGCCGGCCAGCUGGGCACCGCCUCUCCCCUCGCAGGCCGGGCGGUUCCCUCUCCUCUAGGAACCGCCCCGGUGGAGUAGGAUGGAUGUCCAGCUUGUGGGCUCCUCAUCGCCCUGAAGCCCUGCUGAGCCACGGGCCGGGCGCCCCCCUCAGCAGUCAGGGCCACCAGCUGGCUCCAGGCCCUGGGUUAAGGGCGUGCCAGAGCCCGGCUAAGUUGAGCACCCCUGGGGGCAGGAAGUCCUGAGGCCUCCUCUGCAAACCCCUGAGGGCCGCCUCUGGCCGUAGGGUCGCACAGAGGCCGCCAGGAGGGUCCUUGCCCUGGUCCCGGGAGCUCUCCAGGCUGGGCCGAGAAGGGUAAGGGAGUCCCCUCGCCGUCCACCGGGUAGAGUCCCCCGCGCGGGCAGGGGCUGGGGAAGCCUGCCAUUUGCCUGCAGCCAGCGCCCGCCCGUUUCCAGGCUCUUCUGCCAGACGAGACGUCGCACAACACUGGGUCCCCAGAACUGCCAGACUGUUCGUCCCCUCCCCCUCUGGGGAGAAGCAGAAACGACAAACAACGAAGUGCGCGGAGGCAGCCCACCCGGCAACUGCGCCGGGGCCCCGCCCGAGCCCUCCCGCCCACUCGCGGCGGGGCAGCGGCCCGGCCCGGCGCGGGGAGUAGGCCCUGCGCUCGCCGGACCCGGCACCAGCUUCCCGCCCCCGCACAGCAGCUA